GACGAACGCUGGCGGCGUGCCUAAUACAUGCAAGUCGAACGGUUUAGUUCCAAGAGGCUUGCCUUUUGGAACUAGACAGUGGCGGACGGGUGAGUAACACGUAGGCAACCUACCUGUCAAACCGGGAUAACCUCGGGAAACCGAAGCUAAACCCGGAUAAGCUCCUUUUUCGCAUGAAGGGGGAGUGAAAAGGUGCGACCUGAUGACAGAUGGGCCUGCGGCGCAUUAGCUAGUAGGUAGGGUAACGGCCUACCUAGGCGAUGAUGCGUAGCCGACCUGAGAGGGCGUACGGCCACACUGGGACUGAGAUACGGCCCAGACUCCUACGGGAGGCAGCAGUAGGGAAUCUUCGGCGAUGGGCGAAAGCCUGACCGAGCAACGCCGCGUGAGUGAGGAAGGCCUUCGGGUUGUAAAACUCUGUUGUUUGGGAAGAAGGGAAAGGGUAGGACCCUUAGGUGACGGUACCAAACGAGAAAGCCCCGGCUAACUACGUG
rnacentral:rRNA from 1 species